CAAUCCUGGUGGCGAGUGGCGAACGGGUGAGUAAUAUAUCGGAACGUGCCCAGUCGUGGGGGAUAACGCAGCGAAAGCUGUGCUAAUACCGCAUACGAUCUAUGGAUGAAAGCGGGGGAUCGCAAGACCUCGCGCGAUUGGAGCGGCCGAUAUCAGAUUAGGUAGUUGGUGGGGUAAAAGCUCACCAAGCCGACGAUCUGUAGCUGGUCUGAGAGGACGACCAGCCACACUGGAACUGAGACACGGUCCAGACUCCUACGGGAGGCAGCAGUGGGGAGUUUUGGACAAUGGGCGCAAGCCUGAUCCAGCAAUGCCGCGUGCAGGAUGAAGGCCUUCGGGUUGUAAACUGCUUUUGUACGGAACGAAACGGUCCUUUCUAAUACAAGGGGCUAAUGACGGUACCGUAAGAAUAAGCACCGGCUAAC
rnacentral:rRNA from 1 species